UACGGAGGGUGCAAGCGUUAUCCGGAUUCACUGGGUUUAAAGGGUGCGUAGGCGGUUUGAUAAGUCAGUGGUGAAAUCAACGGGCUCAACCUGUUAACUGCCAUUGAUACUGUUGGACUUGAAUGUGAGAGAGGUAGGCGGAAUGUUGCAUGUAGCGGUGAAAUGCUUAGAUAUGCUACGGAACACCGAUUGCGAAGGCAGCUUACUAUUUCAUGAUUGACGCUGAGGCACGAAAGCGUGGGUAGCGAACAGG
rnacentral:rRNA from 1 species